rnacentral:rRNA from 1 species
GACAGAGGGUGCGAACGUUGUUCGGAAUUACUGGGCGUAAAGCGAGUGUAGGCGGUCUUCUAAGUCGGAUGUGAAAGCCUCGGGCUCAACCCGGGAAGUGCACUCGAAACUGGAAGGCUAGAGUAUCGGAGAGGUUGGUGGAAUUCUCGGUGUAGAGGUGAAAUUCGUAGAUAUCGAGAGGAACACCGGUGGCGAAGGCGGCCAACUGGACGAAUACUGACGCUGAGACUCGAAAGCGUGGGGAGCAAACAGG